CGGGGGACUGGUUGUCGGGCCGACGGGGGACUGGUUGUCGGGCCGACGGGGGACUGGUUGUCGGUUAUCGGACCGGGGGACUGGUUAUCGGUUAUCGGACCGGGGGACUGGUUAUCAGACGGGCCGACAGGUUUAUUAAAGGGCUUUUUUUGUGGAUUAGCAGACUUCUCUUCCGCCAUGUAGUCUGUCAAACCAAUAGGAGUAAAUACAUUCCUGGAAUAGUCUUCUGUUGUCAUACAGAUCAUUAGGAUGUUGCCAUUUUAUAUGUGGACUAGGUUGAAUGGCAGGCAGUCUGUUUAGUCAGGAUCGUACUCUGACAGGUUGAAUAGCAGGCAGUCUGUUUAGUCAGGAUCGUACUCUGACAGGUUGAAUAGCAGACAGUCUGUUUAGUCAGGAUCGUACUCUGACAGGUUGAAUAGCAGGCAGUCUGUUUAGUCAGGAUCGUACUCUGACAGGUUGAAUAGCAGACAGUCUGUUUAGUCAGGAUCGUACUCUGACAGGUUGAAUAGCAGACAGUCUGUUUAGUCAGGAUCGUACUCUGACAGGUUGAAUAGCAGACAGUCUGUUUAGUCAGGAUCGUACUCUGACAGGUUGAAUAGCAGACAGUCUGUUUAGUCAGGAUCGUACUCUGACAGGUUGAAUAGCAGGCAGUCUGUUUAGUCAGGAUCGUACUCUGACAGGUUGAAUAGCAGACAGUCUGUUUAGUCAGGAUCGUACUCUGACAGGUUGAAUAGCAGACAGUCUGUUUAGUCAGGAUCGUACUCUGACAGGUUGAAUAGCAGACAGUCUGUUUAGUCAGGAUCGUACUCUGACAGGUUGAAUAGCAGACAGUCUGUUUAGUCAGGAUCGUACUCUGACAGGUUGAAUAGCAGACAGUCUGUUUAGUCAGGAUCGUACUCUGACAGGUUGAAUAGCAGACAGUCUGUUUAGUCAGGAUCGUACUCUGACAGGUUGAAUAGCAGGCAGUCUGUUUAGUCAGGAUCGUACUCUGACAGGAUGAAUAGCAGGCAGUCUGUUUAGUCAGGAUCGUACUCUAUGAUCCUUCUGACAGGUUGAAAAGCAGGCAGUCUGUUUAGUCAGGAUCGUACUCUAUGAUCCUUCUGACAGGUUGAAAAGCAGGCAGUCUGUUUAGUCAGGAUCGUACUCUGACAGGUUGAAUAGCAGACAGUCUGUUUAGUCAGGAUCGUACUCUGACAGGUUGAAUAGCAGGCAGUCUGUUUAGUCAGGAUCGUACUCUGACAGGUUGAAUAGCAGACAGUCUGUUUAGUCAGGAUCGUACUCUGACAGGUUGAAUAGCAGACAGUCUGUUUAGUCAGGAUCGUACUCUGACAGGUUGAAUAACAGGCAGUC